GAUGAACGCUGGCGGCGUGCCUAAUACAUGCAAGUAGAACGCUGAAGGAGGAGCUUGCUCUUCUGGAUGAGUUGCGAACGGGUGAGUAACGCGUAGGUAACCUGCCUGGUAGCGGGGGAUAACUAUUGGAAACGAUAGCUAAUACCGCAUGACAACAGUUAUUGCAUGAUAACUGUUUAAAAGGGGCAACUGCUCCACUACCAGAUGGACCUGCGUUGUAUUAGCUAGUUGGUGAGGUAACGGCUCACCAAGGCGACGAUACAUAGCCGACCUGAGAGGGUGAUCGGCCACACUGGGACUGAGACACGGCCCAGACUCCUACGGGAGGCAGCAGUAGGGAAUCUUCGGUAAUGGACGGAAGUCUGACCGAGCAACGCCGCGUGAGUGAAGAAGGUUUUCGGAUCGUAAAGCUCUGUUGUAAGAGAAGAACGAGUGUGAGAGUGGAAAGUUCACACUGUGACGGUAUCUUACCAGAAAGGGACGGCUAACUACGUG
rnacentral:rRNA from 1 species